UGUGAUCCUCUCGCCUUGGCCUCCCCAAAGUGUUGGGACUACAGGUGUGAACCACUGUGCCCUGUCUUAUUGAGGGAGUUUAAAGCCUGGUGCUUGAAUGCUGUCAAUAACUGAGGUUAACAAUUUCUCUUGAAGACUUCUGCUUCUGGCCAAAGUGGAGUAAUAGGUUCAGAUUUGCCCUCUUGCCUGAAACAAUAACAACAACAACAACAAACACAAUAAAGAUAUAUGAAGGAAUGGUUUUCAAGACAUGGACAUCAGGUGACAAAUGACAGUGAUUCCUGGGAGUUGAGGAGAGUUUUACAAUUGCUCCAGCUUACAGCCCUGAAGAAGUUCCUAGGGCACAGUUCAGGAAGGUGGAACCCAGAUGGAGCCUGGAAAAUGCUCUGAGUUGAGGAAACAGAGAUAAGAGUAUGGGGAGACCAAAGCAACUAGAGUUUGCAGGAUAGAUGAUGGAGAGGAGAGAGGUGCACAGAGAGAGCCCAGGAGAUCCUCAGGGGUCUCCUCAAGAUCGGUUCAACUAAGUACCAAUCAGCACAUGUGUGUGAGGAAACCAUCUGCGAGGAUUAGAAGCAGCGCUGCUCAGUGCUCACUCAGGGCUGAGAACAGUGCCAGUUCCCACCUGCCAGAUUGGAAAGUCCCAUGAUUCCUGGGGCACUCAGUAGUUUGUACAGAAGGUCCUUGCCUCAGAAGUGGGCAAUAAAUAACCCUAGACUGAGCACUUCUCAGCACCCUUGAAAAAAAAAAUCAUAAAAUCAAAACCUGAGGAUCCAACUGUUUCCAAGUAGUUUAACUUAUCCCAGAGCAAAGUUCAAAAAUAUAUAUAGGAAUCCAAAAAUAUUUAACACCCAGCAAAGUACAUUUACAAUGUCUAGUAUCUAAGCAAAAAUUACCAGGUAUGAGAAGAAGUAGAAAAAUAUGACCCAUAUUAAAAAGGAGCCUAGGCUUUUCCCCUCACUCAGCUGUGAUGAGGCACCCCAACCCUUCCUUGCUGGGGUGAUGUGCCCUGUAAUGACCUUCUCCUCAGUGAUUAUGUCAGUGAAGGCCAUGUGGGGACCUGGAACUCUCACCCUCACCAGCUGUAAUGAGACACUCUACCCCAGUGGAGUGUCCACAGAGGCCAAGUGAGGACUGUGGACUUACACAACCACCUGGCAAUUAUGAAGCAGCAGUCCCCUUUCCUGACUGGCACAGUGUCAGACAGGGCCUGCUAAAACAGAAAAUUUAAAUAAGAUAUAAUGUCUUAUAUAAUUCCCCCAAAGCCCAGGAAUUAAUAGAAAAUCACUCAUCAUGUCAAGAACCAGGAAAAUCUCAACUUGAAUGAGAAAAGACAACAAAUGCCAAUGUUGA
rnacentral:lncRNA from 1 species